rnacentral:rRNA from 1 species
UUAGCAAGGAUGGGGGGUGACGGGAUAUCUGGGCGACGAUCCCUAGCUGGUCUGAGAGGAUGACCAGCCACACUGGAACUGAGACACGGUCCAGACUCCUACGGGAGGCAGCAGUGGGGAAUAUUGCACAAUGGGCGCAAGCCUGAUGCAGCCAUGCCGCGUGUAUGAAGAAGGCCUUCGGGUUGUAAAGUACUUUCAGCGGGGAGGAAGGGAGUAAAGUUAAUACCUUUGCUCAUUGACGUUACCCGCAGAAGAAGCACCGGCUAACUCCGUGCCAGCAGCCGCGGUAAUACGGAGGGUGCAAGCGUUAAUCGGAAUUACUGGGCGUAAAGCGCACGCAGGCGGUUUGUUAAGUCAGAUGUGAAAUCCCCGGGCUCAACCUGGGAACUGCAUCUGAUACUGGCAAGCUUGAGUCUCGUAGAGGGGGGUAGAAUUCCAGGUGUAGCGGUGAAAUGCGUAGAGAUCUGGAGGAAUA